rnacentral:rRNA from 1 species
UACAGAGGUCCCAAGCGUUGUUCGGAUUCACUGGGCGUAAAGGGUGCGUAGGUGGCGGGGUAAGUCGGAUGUGAAAGCUCGGAGCUCAACUCCGAAAUGGCAUUGGAAACUACCUUGCCCGAGGGUUGGAGGGGGGACUGGAAUGCUUGGUGUAGCAGUGAAAUGCGUAGAUAUCAAGCGGAACACCAGUGGCGAAGGCGAGUCCCUGGACAACUCCUGACACUGAGGCACGAAAGCUAGGGGAGCAAACGGG